CUACGGGGGGCUGCAGUGGGGAAUUUUGCGCAAUGGGGGAAACCCUGACGCAGCAAUACCGCGUGAGUGAAGAAGGCCUUUGGGUCGUAAAGCUCUUUUCUUGGGGAAGAUAGUGACGGUACCCAAGGAAUAAGCACCGGCUAACUCCGUGCCAGCAGCCGCGGUAAUACGGAGGGUGCAAGCGUUGUUCGGAUUUACUGGGCGUAAAGGGCACGUAGGCGGCACAGCAAGUUAAGGGUGAAAUCCCGGGGCUCAACUCCGGAACUGCUCUUAAAACUGCUGAGCUAGAGAUAGUCAGAGGCGGGUGGAAUUCCAGGUGUAGAGGUGAAAUUCGUAGAUAUCUGGAGGAACACCGGUGGCGAAGGCGGCCCACUGGGGCUAUUCUGACGCUAAGGUGCGAAAGCGUGGGGAGCAAACGGGAUUAGAUACCCCGGUAGUC
rnacentral:rRNA from 1 species